rnacentral:misc_RNA from 1 species
GGAGCGUAAAAGUCGACCAAUAUGUAAUCAAACGAUGAAAUGGCGAGAUCGAAAUUGGAUUCGUCGAGCUCCAACACCUUUCCGUCCGCCGUAAGCGGCAGCUCUGCGCUCGAAAAGGAAGAGGAUGGCAGUGCUGAGAUUGAGAAGAGGAAAACAACCACGACUUGCCACGAUCUCUGCAUCUUCACAGUGCUCAAAUUCACGAUCGAAAGUUUCUCUAUCGUUCUCCUUGUGUUUCGAUUUGAUUACUU